UGGGGAAUAUUGGACAAUGGGCGAAAGCCUGAUCCAGCCAUGCCGCGUGUGUGAAGAAGGUCUUCGGAUUGUAAAGCACUUUAAGUUGGGAGGAAGGGCAGUAAGCGAAUACCUUGCUGUUUUGACGUUACCGACAGAAUAAGCACCGGCUAACUCUGUGCCAGCAGCCGCGGUAAUACAGAGGGUGCAAGCGUUAAUCGGAAUUACUGGGCGUAAAGCGCGCGUAGGUGGUUCGUUAAGUUGAAUGUGAAAGCCCCGGGCUCAACCUGGGAACUGUAUCCAAAACUGGCUAGCUAGAGUAGGGCAGAGGGUGGUGGAAUUUCCUGUGUAGCGGUGAAAUGCGUAGAGAUAGGAAGGAACACCAGUGGCGAAGGCGACCACCUGGGAUCAUACUAACACUGAGGUGCGAAAGCGUGGGGAGCAAACAGG
rnacentral:rRNA from 1 species